rnacentral:sRNA from 1 species
AUCCACUGGGUACAGGGAGUGCUCGGGGUCAUGGAUGAUUGGACCAGGUAUGGAAUGCCGGACAGGGAGUCAAAUUGGUCCUCAAAAAACCCGCCUAGGCGGGUUUUUU